UUGCAAUGAUGACCUUCUUAGGACACCUUUGGAUCAUACGUGAAAAUAAAACUUUGGCUCUGAGUGAC